GCAUAACGCGAAGAACCUUACCAAGGCUUGACAUGCAUCUCUAAGCGCGUGAAAGCGCGUGACCCUUCGGGGGAUUUGCACAGGUGCUGCAUGGCCGUCGUCAGCUCGUGUCGUGAGAUGUUGGGUUAAGUCCCGCAACGAGCGCAACCCUUGUGACUAGUUGCCAGCACGUUAUGGUGGGAACUCUAGUCAGACUGCCCAGAUCAACUGGGAGGAAGGUGGGGACGACGUCAGGUCAGUAUGGCCCUUACGCCUUGGGCUGCACACGUACUACAAUGCCCAGUACAAUGUGAACCGAUACCGCGAGGUGGAGGAAAUCAAUAAAACUGAGCCCAGUUCAGAUUGUAGGCUGCAACUCGCCUACAUGAAGUCGGAAUCGCUAGUAAUGGCGCAUCAGCAACGGCGCCGUGAAUACGUUCCCGGGUCUUGUACACACCG
rnacentral:rRNA from 1 species